UUUGCAGGUGUGUUUAUUAGAUAGUUAUAGCUCAGCGGGUUUACGGGCCAGCAGGCCCAGCGGGCGAGCGGAGACGGCACUGCGCAUGUGC
rnacentral:lncRNA from 1 species